UACGGAGGGGACUAGCGUUGUUCGGAAUUACUGGGCGUAAAGCGCGCGUAGGCGGAUUUGCAAGUCGGGGGUGAAAGCCCGAGGCUCAACCUCGGAACUGCCCUCGAUACUGCAAAUCUCGAGUCCGAGAGAGGUGAGUGGAGUUCCUAGUGUAGAGGUGAAAUUCGUAGAUAUUAGGAAGAACACCAGUGGCGAAGGCGGCUCACUGGCUCGGUACUGACGCUGAGGCGCGAAAGCGUGGGGAGCAAACAGG
rnacentral:rRNA from 1 species